rnacentral:lncRNA from 1 species
UCUGAAAUAACCCUUUUCUAUUUUCGCCGAAUAACGAACCACCUGGCUUCGUAACAACAAUUUUUACCCUAUUAUUACGUGCACGCUGCUGGUACUGACACUUGUUGGCUAGGUGUAGUCACUGAGGGGAGAAGGGCCAGAUACUAUUUUUUUUGUUCUCUUGGCCACGGACUUCUCCUGUACUACUUUGCUGGAUUUGGUGUUUUUUCUUGGUUGGGUUGCUUCUUGGUUCAUGCUUGUCGUUCGGUUUGUUGAAAGUUAUAUACACUAAUUUUGCGCCACACGUGCGUUCCAUCUCGCUAUCUGACUCUCGUUUUCGUUGGAUAUUAUAUCACGCACGUGAAGUCGGAUUUGGGAUUUUCGUCCUGCGUUAUGUAGGUGCGGCCUAGGCUCGUUCGUACCGUAACAAUCACCUGUGGAGCCUCUCUCCGUGCUACGUCGUGGAGACUCUUCCUGGAGUCGUGCGUGCCGCAGAAUUGCAGCGUAGGCCGUUGUCACGCACGAAUGUGAUGCCUGGUCGGUUGUCUCCGCCAGGCAGCUCGAUUUGACGUCAGGUAGACGUGCCAAAUGCGGCGGUGGCGGCUUCUCGAGACGGUCCCUAUGCUAGCUAGAAGAUGAAAAGAUGGAUGAACGUGACGCCAUUGUCGUGGUUGAUGGAUGCAGUCGUGUAGAGAUAUAUCAUACGCCGACAUGGCCAGUGGACAUGGUUUCCUGGUGGAAUAACCGGUCGGGAGGUGGCCAUUGCUCGAGAAUAUAUGCCAUCCAAACCCUUUUUGGCCGGCGGCUCGAAGAUGCUGAACGCAGCUUUUAUUCGCUGUUUAUGUUGUGUUCGUAUAAAGUGAAAGGUCGUGGAGGCGAAAAAGCUCAAGAGAGGGAUUUAUUCGUACUGAUCUUAUUCGUUUUCAUCGGUUUGCGUUUUACUUCCGGGCUUUUUCAGCCCCCCUCAAUGAAUGUACACGAGUUCUUGUGCAGAUUCUUUGAAAACAAAAAAAGGAAAGGGACGAAGGGGGGAGGCGCGUUUCGGCUCCCGGGAGCAUUCACUCCCGCAUGAAAUAGUACCUCAAAAAAAGUGGUAAAAUGUUUUCAAAAAAUUCUGAUUUUCUGGAUGUUCGUGUUAGUGUCACAAGCAUGCUUCAAUUUUCAUGCGGAACGGAGUAGUGUUUCGUCGGUGAAAAAAAUAAAUUUAAGAUGACAUUUUUGUGUAACAUUUGGUAUUCAAUUUCUUUUAUUUUGCACAGGCUAAAAUCUUUAACCUUUUUGCCUGAAACUUUACAGGUAGCAUUUUGAUGUGACUAUGAAUGCAUAAAAAAACUGUUGAGAUUUUUCUAACAUUUCAAAAAUCAUUUUUCGCACGGGAGCGAAAUUGGAUUUUCGCGAAGGCUUAUGCAUGUGUAAACCCUGUUUGUGCAGGAGAAGGGAGAAGAGGAUAGAGGAGAGGAGAGCGCCGUCGGCCAAGAAGAGCGUGGCAGGGGCAUCCGGUGCAAAGAGUGGCAGCAAAUGCACAAUCCUCUAGCUGAAACCAUCGGACGUGCAUAGUGUGCGUGUGGUGCGCUCGGAGCGCUGGUCCCCGACCGACGCAUCUGAGCUGUUGUAUGUAUGUAUCAAUGUGUGUUCAUGUGUAUCCCGGUGUGUGAUGGCGAUCGGCCUACGACUGUAACCGUUCUCAAGGUAAACGAAUAAAAGUGCUCUCUGUCUUGCGGAAAAGGAAGAAAGUGUAGAAACAAGGCGUGGCGGAGCUUGAGACUUUAAUAACCAUCACGGACAGGUCGACAGAUUCCUCAUCAAAAAAAAAAAACACGGACAGGUCGACAGAUCCACCGUUAGAUAUGGCGAAGCGCACGGCCAUCGGGUCUCGGCAUUGUUUUUUUUGUUAGAAAUGGAGAAGGACCCUGGCCUUUGCAUCUGAACGAUGCAUGCAGCCACUUUAUUAAUUAUUAACACAAGAUUUUAUAAAGUCAUAUAACAGUAAGACUAAAAUCAUCAUCUAGUCAACAUCUGUUACUACUCAUAUCCAGUUGAUGAAGGGAUGCUGAUAGUCUGGGCCUAAUGCCAAACAGAUCUCACAGCCAAACCUAAGAGCAACUUCAAAGGGCCGACCCAUUUCGUCCGCCUGCGUCCGUUUGGGUCGGCGCGGACAAAAGUGGCGGCCCAACGCGCCGACCCAAACCCAAAUCACGUCCGCGUCGCGUCCACGCCGACGCAUUUGCGUCCCAAAUUUGCGCCCCAAAUGUGUCCGCCGCGUCCCCACAUGGUGGCCGUCCAACUACCCGCUGCCCACGCGGUCAGCUUAAUUUAUGACGAUGGGCCCACACGUCAGCGACGGCGCUCGCCCUUUUUUAAGCCGACCGUGCGGCGGGGUCGUCCUCAUCCAAACUCGCGCGUCCACAUCUGUCAUCCUUUGCUCCCUCGUCGCCGGCAAACCCUAGCCACCACAACCACAGCGAGAUGGGCCUCUUCUCCGGCGCCAGCGGCAGCAAGGCCAAGGGCAAGUCCCCCGCCACCCCUUUCCUCCCGCCUCCGCCGGCGUCGACGCCUCCGCCGGCGUCGACGCCUCGCCGGCAGAGGCAGCGCGUGGACGUGGCACCGCGGCGGGCGUAGGCCCUUACCCUCUCCGCGGCGGGCGACAGCGUGGUGCCGCCGGUGGCCCCGCCGUCCCCCAUCAAGCCGGAGCCGGAGCCCGAGCCGUCCCCCAUCGAGCGCUACUCUUGGACGGGAGUAGUGCGCGAGUGUGUACGCGCGCCGCCGGUCUGGAUGGGAGCGAUGCCGGCGCAGGAGCGGGCGUACCUCGAGCACUAGCACAAGAUUAGGGUGGCCAAGGAGCGUCGCGACGGUGAGUACCUCGAGAUGCUCGAGCGCGACCUCGAGGAGGAGCAGCGUGAGGCCGAGGAGGAGGCGCGCCAGGCCGCGGCUGCACAGGCGGCUUCACAACCCCCCGCGCCGGCACUGCCCGACAUGACGGCGCUCUGGAACACGGCGUUCGCCUGGGCCGGACCGGCGCCGACGCUCAUCGACCUCACGGACCCCGAGGACGAUGACGAGGACGCCUAGGGCAGCGCGCCGCCUCGUAGUUUAGGCUGUUUUUAUUUUUUUAAAUGCAAAUGUGGACGCGUGGACUCUCGCCGGCCUUCGUCACCGGCUUUAAUGUUUGAUUAAUGUUGUUUCUCUUUUUUAAUAUGCAUGCGUUCAAUUUUUUUGCGCCGUCAAAAAUGUGUCCAGGCCAACGUUGGGUGAUACGUCUCCGUCGUAUCUAUAAUUUUUGAUUGUUCCAUGCCAAUAUUCUACAACUUUCAUAUACUUUUGGCAACUUUUUAUACUAUUUUUGGGACUAACAUAUUGAUCCAGUGCCCAGUGUCAGUUCCUGUUUGUUGCAUGUUUUUUGUUUCGCAGAAUAUUCAUACCAAACGGAGUUCAAACGGGAUAAAAACUGAUGGAGAUUUUUUUUGGAAUAUAUAUGAUUUUUGGGAAGAAAAAUUCACGUGAGACGAUGCCCGAGGGGGCCACGAGGCAGGGGGGACGCGCCCUAAGGGGCAGGCGAGCCCCUGACCCUCGUGGCCACCCCGUAAGGCGGUUGGUACCCUUCUUUCGCCGCAAGAAAGCUAAUAUCCGGAUAGAGAUCGUGUUAAAUUUUUAGCCCAAUCAAAGUUACGGAUCUUCGGAAAUAUAAGAAACAGUAAAAGGGGAGAAUCUGAGAACGCAGAAACAGAGAGAGACAGAGAGACAGAUCCAAUCUCGGAGGGGCUCUCGCCCCUCCCACGCCAUGGAGGCCAUGAACCAGAGGGGAAACCCUUCUCCCAUCUAGGGAGGAGGUCAAGGAAGAAGAAGAAGGAGGGGGGCUCUCUCCCCCUCGCUUUCGGUGGCGCCGGAGUGUCACCGGGGGCCAUCAUCAUCACCGCAAUCUUCACCAACAACUUCACCGUCAUCAUCACCAACUCUUCCCCCCCCUCUAUGCAGCGGUGUAACCUCUCUCUUACCCGCUGUAAUCUCUACUUAAACAUGGUGCUCAACGCUAUAUAUUAUUUCCCAAUGAUGUAUGGCUAUCCUAUGAUGUUUGAGUAGAUCCGUUUUGUCCUAUGGGUCAUUUGAUGAUCAUGAUUGGUUUGAGUUGCAUGUUUUAUUAUUGGUGCUAUCCUAUGGUGCUCUCCAUGUCGCGCAAGCGUGAGGGAUUCCCACUGUAGGGUGUUGCAAUAUGUUUAUGAUUCGCUUAUAAUGGGUUGCGUGAGUGACUGAAACACAAACCCGAGUAAGGGGGGUUACUGCGUAUGGGAUAAAGAGGACUUGAUGCUUUAAUGCUAUGGUUGGGUUUUACCUUAAUGAUCUUUAGUAGUUGCGGAUGCUUGCUAGACUUCCAAUCAUAAGUGCAUAUGAUCCAAGUAGAGAAAGUAUAUUAGCUUAUGCCUCUCCCUCAUAUAAAAUUACAAUAAUGAUUACCGGUCUAGUUAUCGAUUGCCUAGGGACAAAUGACUUUCUCUUGACAACAAGCUCUCUACUAAAACUAAUUUAGUUGUGUCUUUACCUAAACAACCCCUACUUUUUAUUUACUUGCUCUUUAUUAUCUUGCAAACCUAUCCAACAACACCUACAAAGUACUUCUAGUUUCAUACUUGUUCUAGGUAAAGCGAACGUCAAGCAUGUGUAGAGUUGUAUCGGUGGUCGAUAGAACUUGAGGGAAUAUUUGUUCUGCCUUUAGCUCCUCGUUGGGUUCGACACUCUUACUUAUCAAAAACUGUUGCGAUCCCCUAUACUUGUGGGUUAUCAAGACCUUUUUCUGGCGCCGUUGCCGGGGAGUAAUAGCGUGGGGUGAAUAUUCUCGUGUGUGUUUGUUUGCUUUAUCACUAAGUAAUUUUUAUUUGUUGUUCUUAGUUGUUUUCUAUCUUCAUUUAUGGGUAGGAAACACAAAAUACCAAAAAAAAUCAGUUGUACCUACUAAACCAAUGGUUGAAGAACCACUCAAAAUCUAUCACACUGCUGAAACUUAUUACUUGCAUCAUCUUCGAUCCCUAUGUGCUCGUGCUGAAACCCCAACUAGCUUAGUUGAGGGCUAAUCUUUAGAUGAGCAUGCUUGUUAUGUGCGACACCAAAUAUCUGAAAAAGGGAAAAUUUUACUGGGUCAAAUUCAUCGUUUGCAAUGCUAUGCUUGGAAUUUAUGCGAAAUAUAUGAUAUUACUUGUUGUUCUGAAAACCCUAAGAAACACCUUCCCUAUCAAUGUGAGUUUAGUGAUAAUGGAAUCGUAUCUUCGUAUGCUAAGGGUGUUUAUAGUUAUUAUGAUGUCCAACAAAUUGAAGAAUCUGUUGCUUUUAAGGGUGCUCAUGAAAUUGCUUCUUUGAUUGAAACAUAUGAUGCUACUCUUUACAAAUUUGAAAAUUUGACAUACUUAAAUAUUGCUAUGAUAAUUAUGCUUCUAAUGCCUAUGUUAAACCAUAUAUCGAGGUCUCUUCCGCUGUCCAAGAAGAGACUAAUAUUUUGCAGGAGUCUAUGGAAGAAGAAAUUGAUGAAACUGUGAGCUCAUUGGAUGAAAAAGAUGAGGAAGAGCGGAUUGAUCACCCGUGUCCACCUUCUAAUGAGAGUAACUCUUCAACUCAUACAUUGUUUAAUUCCCUUCAUGCUUACCGAAGGAUGAAUGCUAUGAUCCCGUUGAUUCUUUUGAAAUAUCCCUUUUUAAUGAUGCUUGAUAUGCUUGUGGCCAAGAUGCCAAUAUGAAUUAUGCUUAUGGAGAUGAACUUGCUAUAGUUCCUAAUAUUAAACAUGAAAUUGUUCCUAUUUGCACCCAUGCAUGAUAGUCCUAUUAUCUUUUUGAAUUCUUCCGGCUACACUAUAUCGGAGAAGUUUGCCCUUAUUAAGGAUUACAUUGAUGGGUUACGUUUUACUACUACACAUGAUGAUUUUGAUAGAUAUAAUAUGCAUGUGCUUGCUGCUCCUACUUGCAAUUAUUAUGAGAGAGGAACUAUAUCUCCACCUCUCUAUGUUUCCCACAUGAUAAAAUUGCAAAAAAACUGUUUAUACUAUGCAUUGGCAUUACUAUGUGUGCAUGAAUUGUUCUUUUAUGACAUGCCGAUGCAUAGGAAGAGAGUUAGACUUCGUCAUUACAUUGUAUAUGUUACUUUGUGCUCACAACUAAAUUACAAAUCAUUGUUAAUUAAAAUGGCAUUGAUAUACCUUGGGAUCCGGGUGGAUCCAUUACUUGAGCACUAUAUGCCUAGCUUAAUGGCUUUAAAGAAAGCACUGACAGGGAGACAAUCCGGAAGUUUUAGAGAGUCAUUUAUUUCUGUUGAGUGCUUUUAUAUAGUUUAAAAACAAAAAAAAAAUAAA